GAUGAAGAACGCAGCGAAAUGCGAUAAGUAAUGUGAAUUGCAGAAUUCAGUGAAUCAUCGAAUCUUUGAACGCACAUUGCGCCCGCCAGUAUUCUGGCGGGCAUGCCUGUUCGAGCGUCAUUUCAACCAUCAAGCCCCCGGCUUGUGUUGGGGACCUGCGGCUGCCGCAGGCCCUGAAAAGCAGUGGUGGGCUCGCUGUCACACCGAGCGUAGUAGCAUACAUCUCGCUCUGGGCGUGCUGCGGGUUCCGGCCGUUAAACCACCUUCAUAACCCAAGGUUGACCUCGGAUCAGGUAGGAAGACCCGCUGAACUUAAGCAUAUCAAUAAGCGGAGGA
rnacentral:misc_RNA from 1 species